rnacentral:rRNA from 1 species
UACAGAGGGUGCAAGCGUUGCUCGGAAUCAUUGGGCGUAAAGCGCGUGUAGGCGGUCCGGUAAGUCCGCUGUGAAAGUCGGGGGCUCAACCCUCGGAUGCCGGUGGAUACUGUCGGGCUAGAGUGCGGGAGAGGCGAGUGGAAUUCUUGGUGUAGCGGUGAAAUGCGUAGAUAUCAAGAGGAACACCUGAGGUGAAGACGGGUUGCUGGGCCAACACUGACGCUGAGGCGCGAAAGCCAGGGGAGCAAACGGG